GAUGAACGCUGGCGGCGUGCCUAAUACAUGCAAGUAGAACGCAGUUGCGAACGGGUGAGUAACGCGUAGGUAACUGCCUGGUAGCGGGGGAUAACUAUUGGAAACGAUAGCUAAUACCGCAUACUACCAGAUGGACCUGCGUUGUAUUAGCUAGUUGGUGGGGUAACGGCUCACCAAGGCAACGAUACAUAGCCGACCUGAGAGGGUGAUCGGCCACACUGGGACUGAGACACGGCCCAGACUCCUACGGGAGGCAGCAGUGGGGAAGUUUGGACAAGGGGCGCAAGCCUGAUCCAGCCAUGCCGCGUGUCUGAAGAAGGCCUGCGGGUUGUAAAGGACUUUUGUUAGGGAAGCGGUACCUAAAGAAUAAGCACCGGCUAACUACGUGCCAGCAGCCGCGGUAAGUC
rnacentral:rRNA from 1 species